rnacentral:rRNA from 1 species
UCCGUAGGUGAACCUGCGGAGGGAUCAUUACCGAGUUUACAACUCCCAAACCCAAUGUGAACGUUACCAAACUGUUGCCUCGGCGGGAUCUCUGCCCCGGGUGCGUCGCAGCCCCGGACCAAGGCGCCCGCCGGAGGACCAACCAAAACUCUUUUUGUAUACCCCCUCGCGGGUUUUUUAUAAUCUGAGCCUUCUCGGCGCCUCUCGUAGGCGUUUCGAAAAUGAAUCAAAACCUUCAACAACGGAUCUCUUGGUUCUGGCAUCGAUGAAGAACGCAGCGAAAUGCGAUAAGUAAUGUGAAUUGCAGAAUUCAGUGAAUCAUCGAAUCUUUGAACGCACAUUGCGCCCGCCAGUAUUCUGGCGGGCAUGCCUGUCCGAGCGUCAUUUCAACCCUCGAACCCCUCCGGGGGGUCGGCGUUGGGGAUCGGCCCUGCCUCUUGGCGGUGGCCGUCUCCGAAAUACAGUGGCGGUCUCGCCGCAGCCUCUCCUGCGCAGUAGUUUGCACACUCGCAUCGGGAGCGCGGCGCGUCCACAGCCGUUAAACACCCAACUUCUGAAAUGUUGACCUCGGAUCAGGUAGGAAUACCCGCUGAACUUAAGCAUAUCAAUAAGCGGAGGA